GUGGGGAAUCUUCCGCAAUGGACGAAAGUCUGACGGAGCGACGCCGCGUGAGUGAAGAAGGCCUUCGGGUCGUAAAGCUCUGUCAUCAGGGACGAACGGCCGGUGGAGUGGAAAGCCACCGGAUUGACGGUACCUGAGAAGGAAGCCACGGCUAACUACGUGCCAGCAGCCGCGGUAAUACGUAGGUGGCAAGCGUUGUCCGGAAUUUUUGGGCGUAAAGCGCGCGCAGGUGGGAUCUUAAGUCCAUUUUUAAAGUUCGGAGCUCAACUCCGUGAUGGGAUGGAAACUGGGAUUCUUGAGUACCGGAGAGGAAAGCGGAAUUCCCCGUGUAGCGGUGAAAUGCGUAGAUAUGGGGAGGAACACCAGUGGCGAAGGCGGCUUUCUGGACGGUGUCUGACACUGAGGCGCGAAAGCCAGGGGAGCGAACGGGAUUAGAUACCCCGGUAGUCC
rnacentral:rRNA from 1 species